UAUGUAUUGAUCAUUAUAGAAUCUAUGUAUGAACUAUAAUAUAUAUUAAUUAAUAAGUAAAGUAGACCGUGUUACAAAAUAUAAAUUGAAUUUAGAAUCACUAAAUACAAUUUUUAAAUAGUUUUUCAAAAUGAAGAACAAGUCAACACGUCAUAAAGACAGAGAUACAUUUCAGAUAUUAUUCAAAAAUAAAUAAGUCAGGACAAUGAUGAAAUCAAAACCUAUUUUUAUGAAAUGAAAAAUGGCUUCAAAAAUGAAAUCUCCUGAAUCUAAGAGAGAGUUAUUGGAAUUUAAAAAACAAAAUAUUUAGACAAGCGAGAUGUUCUAUUUCUACAGCUAAUAUUGGAAUAAAUAGCGACAAAUCUAUGAAACGAUUUUUUAAAGAUAUUUUUAUCAAUUUUUACAAGCUAUAAUGGGUAUUAUGAUUAAAACAUAUAAAAGAAAUAAAAUACGCAUUCAUGAUUUGCCAACUAAUUUAAAUAUCUGUGGCGAUAUUAAUUCUAAAAUGUAAAAACUUUUAGAUUUGCUUUCAUCACUUUUACUCGAUCCAAUCAUUUUAUAUUAAUAGUAUUGGUACAGAAAGUUGUCUUCAUUGUCAAAAUUAAUUAAGAGUUACUGCGAUUUCUGUUGAAGAUAUUGUAAGAUUAAUUAAUAUGAAAUUACUGACUUUAGAAGGUUUAUGUUUGAAGAUCUAAUACAGUAAUAUAUCAAUUUAAUUCUUUUGGAAAUCAGAUCUUGUAACAUUAUUCUAAUAUUUUAAAAGAUGAAUUUAUAAAUCAAGAUCUAGUAUAUACUUACGUGCAACUAAUAUUGUUAUAUCGCUGGAAAAUAUUAUUUAUAAUAAUUAAAAAGAAAUAGUUAAUUUCGAAGACAAUCUAUAAAGAAAUAAUCAGAAUGAUCUAUAACCGAAAAUAAGUUAAAAAAAAAAUAAAGUUUAAAUAAAUUAAAAAGAUUACUAUGUCAAUUACAAGGAAUCAUCAAGUUCCAGGAUCAGAGAAAAGUUCUUUAUAAAUAUAGAAAAAUAAAAUCUAAUGAGAACUCCUAUUGCAUUAGCAUUUGUUAGAUUAUUAAAAAAUCUUCCAGAAGAUAUUUUAAAUUUACAUCUAUUAAGGAAACAGUUCACCUUUAUUGGUACAUACCCAUAGAGAAAUUCGCAACAAAUUAAUUUUAUACUUUCCGUUUUUGAUAUUGACAAAGUUGUGAUACUUGUAUACAACUUGAUAAAUAUCCAACGAGAAACACAGUAUCCAAAUGGGUCAUCAAUAUAGUGACUAUUACACAAAUUGAAAAACUAAAUACAACACUUUUUAAUGUCAUGACUCGGUUAGCAUGAGAAAUGUUCAUGACUGAAGAACCAUCUACCAUUUCGUAUCAUUUAACAAAAAAAAUUCUAUGACAACGAAAUGAAUAUAUAAUAAAGAAUAUAUGAGAUUUCUUAAUGAAAUACAACAAAAUCUUCAUAGAAAAAAAAUGAAAUAUCAAAAAAUACAUAAACAGCAGUUUAAGCAGAGAAACCUAAAAUUUAUGGCAAAAUCUAAAAUCAUGAAGACAGCGAAAGAAGAAACCAAAUAAUAAGAAAAGUUAGAAACGUAGAAGUUAGAGAUGUAAAAAAAAUUACAAGGAAGAAAGAAUCAACUUUUUUCUACAAAAUUUAUAAAUAUGAUUUCUUUUAAAUUCAGUGGCAUAACGCUCUUAAUAGUUAAAGCAAAAACAUCUAACUCGUUAAAAGUAGUUUUAAAAAUUGAAAUGCUUAACACGCAAUUAAACAUAACUUUGUGAAAAUAUUUUCUUUUUAAAUAAUUUUAAAUUUAAAUACUUUAUUUUUAAAUAAUUUUAAUAUAUAAACGAAGAGAUACAUAUAUUAAGAGAAUAUUUGUAAACAUUUACAAAAUAUAUAUAAAUUAAAAAGUCAAUCAUAAUAAAAAAAAUUCAAAUAUAAAUCAUUGAGAAUACAUUCUACGGUUAUCCAGAUCAAAUCUAACAUUGUUAAAUAUUGAAAAUCAUUGUUCAUACAUAAUAAACUUUCAAGGGUAGUAGUAAUGAAAUUUCCUUGGGUCACAUUGGAGUCAUAUUAUUUUUAAUUAAGAUUAUUGAAGCCACAUUAUUAGUCAGUGGAGAAUAAAAUUAAAUCCAACCAAAACAGAAAUAAUAAUACUGACAAAGAAAAAGGAAAAAAACAAUACAAUAAUAUAAAAUUGUAUACAAAACAAAACUAUUAAAAUAGUAAAAUACUUAGGAGUGUAUCUUCUGUCUAAACUAAUCUUCAAAAAUCUUAUAAAAAAUUUAAUCAAGAAAGUUCAAGCAAUAUUAAGCAAAUUAUAUUCGCUAAUGAUAUAUGAUUUGCCAAUAUAUCCCAAUACAACAAAAAACUCAUAUAUAAAAUGAUAAUAAAACAAAUAGUAAUAUAUUCAGCACUUGUCUGUGUAAGGGUGUGCCAAUCAAUAUAUUCUAUAUUAUUAUAAAUAAUACAGAAUAAACGCCCAAGUUUGAUACUGUUAAUCGAUAUAUGCUUGUAAGAAAUCUGCAUGAAUUUACAAAAAUAAAAUAUAUAAGUGAAUAUAUAACAAACUUGACAGAUAAUUCUUACAAAAGUCAAUUGAAUAACAUUUUGUUAAUAGAAGAAUUACAAAACAUAAGAUAUCACAAUUCUUUAUAAAAUAUUAGGUGGACCAGAAAGUAAUGUCGUUUCUGCGCAUGUCGAUAUUUAAUUGUCAUUUGUCUAAGUUCAGAACCAGUUAUUUUGACCUCUCUGACUCCUAUCCAUCAGGAAGACCAAUAACAUUAGACGACAUGCUAAGGACAGAAAUAGAAGCAAAUCCAUGUCAGACAAUCGAGGAACUCUCAAACACCCUUAACCAUUGGAUGGUCGACCAUCCAAGAACAUUUGCAGCAGAUUGGAAAAAUAAGCAGAACAGGUGUUUGGGUCCCCCAUAAUCUGUCCGAAGAGAACAAAGCCAACCGAUUCAUCAUAUGUAACGUAUUGCUUCAAUGGCACCAUACAGAACCGUUUUUUGAUCGCUUGAUCACUGGAGACGAAAAAUGGGUCCUAUAUGAUAAUCCAAAAUGCAAAAGGCAGUGGUUCUCUCCAAAUGAAUCACCACGAAAUACUGCGAAGCCGGGUGGGUUUACAUCCCAGAAAGACGCUUCUGUGUGUUUGGUGGAGUAUACGCGGAAUUGUUCAUUUUGAAGUGCUGAAACCUGGACAAACUGUUAAUGCAGAUCUUUAUUGUGAACAAUUAGAUCGAGUGAACCGAUCUUUAAUCGAAAAAUAUCCGGCGAUUGUCAACAGAAAAGGCGUUAUUCUGCAACACGACAAUGCAAGAUCGCACUGUGCAAGACGAACCUUGGAAAAAAUUAAUGAAUUGGGGUGGGAGGUACUGUCUCAUCCACCAUACUCACUCGAUAUUGCACCAUCGCAUUUCCAUUUAUUCCGAUCGCUACAACAUUUUCUUAGUGGCAAAAAAUUUGAAAAUUUGGAUGAUGUCCAAAAUGCCAUCUCGAGGUAUUUUACUCAAAAACCAAUUGAUUUUUAUCGGUGCGGCAUUGAAAAUUUGCAUACUAAAUGGCAAAAAAUUGUUGAUAACGAAGGUGAUUACAUUAUUGAUUAAAAAUAAAAACUUGUUAAAAAUUU